CAAGAAAAGCCUCGUGUUAAACACACGUGUGUCUCCUCGCCUGCCGGUUUAAUGCCCAGUCGUGGGGUCCUGGGUUGUGGCCACGAAGUCCUAUUCCUCUGUCGCCAGGGUGAGAAGGUGGCUGUCGGCAGGGAUUUUGGGAUCAGGCAGGUGACUUCUCACGAAGGCUGGUUUCUCAGCCUCACAUCUGCCGACAUCGGGGGCUGGAGGAUUCUCCGUCGUGGGGCGUCCUGUGCCCUGUGGGGUGUCGGGGACAUGUUCUCACUCGGAGGACACAUUGAUUCAAACCAUAGGAUACACAGUUGAUUCAUACAUGUAUGAUUGAUAGGUGAUUGGUUGACAGAUAGUUGAUGGAUAGAUAUUGAUAUAGAUGCAUGAUUAAUAGGUGAUUGACAGAUGAUAGACAUUAAUAUAAAUGUAUGAUUGAUUGGUUGACAGAUGAUAGAUAAUUGAUAUAGAUGCAUGAUUAAUAGGUGAUUGACAGAUAAUUGAUAGGCAUUAAUAUAAAUGUAUGAUUGAUAGAUGAUUGGUUGACAGAUAAUUGAUAUAGACACAUGAUUAAUAGGUGAUUGACAGAUAAUUGAUAGACAUUAAUAGAAAUGUAUGAUUGAUGAUUGGUUGACAGAUGAUUGAUAAUUGAUAUAGAUGCAUGAUUAAUAGAUGGUUGAUAAUUGACAGAUAAUUGGUAUAGAUGCAUGAUUGAUAGAUGAUUUAUUGACAGACAAUUGAUACAUAAGCGAUACAGAUGCAUGAUUGAUAGGGAAUUGAUUGACAGAUGAUUGAUAAUUUAUAUAGAUGUAUGACUGAUCAGUGAUUGGUUGAUAGGUAAUUGAUAUAGAUGCAUGAUUGACAGAUGAUUGGUUGUCAGAUAAUUGACCGAUAGUAAUGGAUAGCUGAUUAAUAGAUAGAUAAUUGAUUAAUCAAUAAUUGAUAGAUGAUAGAUAAAGAAUCUCUCAUGCCCAGGCAGCUUUCUCAGCUCUGGCACUGCUGAUGUUUGGGACUGGAGGACUCUCUGUCUUGGGGCCACCCUGGGUGCUGCAGGGUGCUAACUCUCUUGAUGAGGCCGUCCUGGGUACUGUAGGGUACUGAGUCUCUGUGAUGAAGCCGUCCUGGGCUCUGUAGGGUGUUGAGUCUGAGUCUCUGUGAUGAGGCCGUCCUGGGCCCUGUAGGAUGCUGAGUCUCUGUGAUGAGGCCGUCCUGGACACUGUAGGGUGCUGAGUCUGAGUCUCUGUGAUGAGGCCGUCCUGGGCCCUGUAGGGUGUUAAGUCUCUGUGAUGAGGCCGUCCUGGACACUGUAGGGUGCUGAGUCUCUGUGAUGAGGCCGUCCUGGGCACUGUAGGGUGUUGAGUCUGAGUCUCUGUGAUGAGGCCGUCCUGGGCCCUGUAGGGUGUUGAGUGUCUGUGAUGAGGCCGUCCUGGGAGCUGUAGGGUGUUGACUCUGUGGUGGGGCCGUCCUGGGCGCUGUAGGGUGCUGAGUCUCUGUGAUGAGAGGCCGUCCUGGGCGCUGUAGGGUGUUGAGUCUCUGUGAUGAGGCCGUCCUGGGAGCUGUAGGGUGUUGACUCUGUGGUGGGGCCGUCCUGGGCGCUGUAGGGUGCUGAGGAGCGUCCCUGGGCUCCACCCAGCAGAUGCCAGUUCACCCCCAUGU
rnacentral:lncRNA from 1 species